AAUUUUUGACAAUGGGGGAAACCUUGAUCCAGCCAUCCCCCGUGUAUGUUGAAGGCUUUUGGGUUGUAAAGUAUUUUUGUCAGAGAAUAAACGGUAUCUCCUAAUAUGAGGUACUGCUGACGGUAUCUGCAGAAUAAGCACCGCCUAACUACGUGCCAGCAGCCGCGGUAAUACGUAGGGUGCAAGCGUUAAUCGGAAUUACUGGGCGUAAAGCGUGUGUAGGCGGAUCGGAAAGAAAGAUGUGAAAUCCCAGGGCUCAACCUUGGAACUGCAUUUUUAACUGCCGAGCUAGAGUAUGUCAGAGGGGGGUAGAAUACCACGUGUAGCAGUGAAAUGCGUAGAUAUGUGGAGGAAUACCGAUGGCGAAGGCAGCCCCCUGGGAUAAUACUGACGCCCAGACACGAAAGCGUGGGGAGCAAACA
rnacentral:rRNA from 1 species